CCCCAGUAACGGCGAGUGAAGCGGCAGCAGCCCAGAUUUGGAAUCUGGUCCCCUAGCGGGGCCCGAGUUGUAAUCUGCAGAGGAAGCGUCUGGCGCGGCGCCGGCCUAGUUCCCUGGAACGGGACGCCGUAGAGGGUGACAGCCCCGUGCGGUCGGCCGCCAAGCCUGUGUGUCGCUCCUUCGAGGAGUCGCGUAGUUUGGGAAUGCUGCGCAAAGCGGGAGGUAUGCUCCUCCUAAGGCUAAAUACCGGCCAGAGACCGAUAGCGCACAAGUAGAGUGAUCGAAAGAUGAAAAGCACCUUGAAAAUGGGGUCAAAUAGUACGUGAAAUUGCCAAAGGGGAAGCGCUCGUGGCCAGACUCGCGCCCGGCGGAUCAUCCGGCUUUCUCGCCGGUGCACUCCGCCGGGCUCGGGCCAGCGUCGGUCGGCGCCGGUGCUAAAAGGCGGCGCGAACGUGGCUCCCUCCGGGGAGUGUUAUAGCGCGCCGCGUAAUGUGCUGGUGCCGUCCGAGGACCGCGCUUUUGCAAGGACGCUGGCGUAAUGGCCACUAGCGGCCCGUCUUGAAACACGGACCAAGGAGUCGCCCAGAGGCGCGAGUGUGCGGGUGACAAACCCCUGCGCGUAGUGAAAGCGAACGCUGGUGGGAGCCCCUCGCGGGCGCACCACCGACCGAUCCUGAUGUCUUCGGAUGGAUUUGAGUAGGAGCGUCUCUGGUCGGACCCGAAAGAGGGUGAACUAUGCUUGGGUAGGGUGAAGCCAGAGGAAACUCUGGUGGAGGCCCCGUUUGGGUUCUGACGUGCAAAUCGAUCCAUAAACCUGGGCAUAGCGGCGAAAGACUAAUCGAACCUUCUAGA
rnacentral:rRNA from 1 species